rnacentral:tRNA from 1 species
GCCUCGGUAGCUCAAUUGGUAGAGCGUUGGCACGGUAAGCCAAAGGUCCGAGGUUCGAAUCCUGGUCGAGGCU